ACGGAAGGCAGCAGUGGGGAAUAUUGCACAAUGGGGGAAACCCUGAUGCAGCGACGCCGCGUGAGUGAAGAAGUAUUUCGGUAUGUAAAGCUCUAUCAGCAGGGAAGAUAAUGACGGUACCUGACUAAGAAGCCCCGGCUAACUACGUGCCAGCAGCCGCGGUAAUACGUAGGGGGCAAGCGUUAUCCGGAUUUACUGGGUGUAAAGGGUGCGUAGGUGGUAUGGCAAGUCAGAAGUGAAAACCCGGGGCUCAACCCCGUGGAUUGCUUUUGAAACUGUCAAACUAGAGUACCGGAGAGGUAAGCGGAAUUCCUAGUGUAGCGGUGAAAUGCGUAGAUAUUAGGAGGAACACCAGUGGCGAAGGCGGCUUGCUGGACGGUAACUGACACUGAGGCACGAAAGCGUGGGGAGCAAACAGGAUUAGAUACCCUGGUA
rnacentral:rRNA from 1 species